UUCUCCUUGUGUUCUACUGCUGAUUUGGGUCCCCAAAACUCCUGAAAAGAAUUUCUGGAUGUAGCUUCUGAGAACCUGCCCACAGUUAGUUCUGAUUGGUGAAUAAAAAUGCCAACAGCCAAUAAAUAGCUGGGAAGAACAGACAAAGGAGAAAUCCCAAGUUACCCUACUAUCAUAUUCACAGACAAGAUUCCAAGAUCAAGGAACACAGAGGGAAGUCUGCAUUCAGAGGAGUUAUCCUGGCUGUAUGAUCUGUGUUCAAAUUUGGACUCUGUCAGGCUUUAUGCAGAAACCUAGUCAUCAAAAAAGCAGGAGAAUAAAAACAUUCAACUAUGGAAGCCAGAGGCCAGUGGACAAGUAAACCAUCUGAGAAAAAAAGAUCAUCAAGAGAAAAUGUCCUGGGAAAAUAGAGUAAAUUGGCCAAAUGGUAUCAGCCAGGUGUAGCUCUCUCCUUUCUUCUUGCAAUGCAGUGUCAGCACAUGGCUGAUUCUCAAACGCUUGUCUCUGCUCCACUCUUCAGAUAUAAAUGGCAAAUGGUCUUUAUGUUGGCCAAAUUCAAUUAAAAAUUAAUGUUGGCUUUGA